CUAGUGGUCAACAUUGGGACAAUGCAGCCAUAAAUAACAUGGACCAAUAUUUUCAUGGAGUGAGCAAGACCUGCCAGCAGAGCUCACUGGAGCAGGGAGACAUCCCGUCAUCCUUUAGGCACCUGACAAAAUCAUCACAGCAGCCAAAGUUGCCGUGCAGAGGGAGGAGAUCCUCCGAGCAUCUGGCCUCAUCCCGUCACAGAGGGAGG